rnacentral:rRNA from 1 species
GACGUAGGAGGCGAGCGUUGUCCGGAUUCAUUGGGCGUAAAGAGCACGCAGGCGGUUUGGCAAGUCGGAUGUGAAAACCCGGAGCUCAACUCCGGACCUGCAUCCGAAACUGCCCGACUAGAGGUAGGUAGGGGAGAUCGGAAUUCCUGGUGUAGCGGUGAAAUGCGCAGAUAUCUGGAGGAACACCAGUGGCGAAGGCGGCUUCCUGGCCUGUAACUGACGCUGAGACGCGAAAGCGUGGGGAGCGAACCGG